GAUGAACGCUGGCGGCGUGCCUAAUACAUGCAAGUCGAGCGAACGGACGAGAAGCUUGCUUCUCUGAUGUUAGCGGCGGACGGGUGAGUAACACGUGGAUAACCUACCUAUAAGUCUGGUAUAACUUCGGGAAACCGGAGCUAGUACCGGAUAAUAUUUUGAACCGCAUGGUUCAAAAGUAAAAGACGGUCUUGCUGUCACUUAUAGCUGGAUCCGCGCUGCAUUAGCUAGUUGGUAAGGUAACGGCUUACCAAGGCAACGAUGCAUAGCCGACCUGAGAGGGUGAUCGGCGACACUGGAACUGAGACACGGUCAAGACUCCUACGGGAGGCAGCAGUAGGGAAUCUUCCGCAAUGGGCGGAAGCCUGACGGAGCAACGCCGCGUGAGUGAUGAAGGUCUUCGGAUCGUAAAACUCUGUUAUUAGGGAAGAACAUCUGUGUAAGUAACUGUGCACAUCUUGACGGUACCUAAUCAGAAAGCCACGGCUAACUACGUG
rnacentral:rRNA from 1 species